GCCAGCGUUGCACAGUGGUUUGAGCAUUGGAGUAUGGCUCUGGAGGCUAGGGUUCAAAUCCCAGCCAUGGAG